GGUCUCGCUGUGUAGUUCAGGCUGGCCUUGAGCUCACUUUGUAGCCCAGGCUGGCCUGGAACUCACAACAAUCCUCCUGCCUCAGCUUCCCGAGUGCUGGGAUUACAGGCAUGAGCCACCA
rnacentral:miRNA from 1 species